ensembl:lncRNA
AGGAAUCCUGUGUGUUUGGCACUGUGUUCUUUUUCUAUUGCUUCCCGACAAAUCACCAUGAUCGUGGCAGCUUAAAACAAUAACGUUCUUGUUGUCACAUGGAAGGAUUCCGCGAGCGAGGAGGGUCUCUUAGCUCAGGGAGACCCCCACCGUCCCUCUUUUAAGGGCUGUCACCUGAUUAAGUCAGGCCCACCAGGACAAUCUUCCUUUUGAUGAACUCAAAACCAACUGAUUUGGGACCUUAAUUAUAUCAGUGAAAUCUCUUCGCUGUUCUGUAUUCCACUGGCUGGCACAAGUCCCACCCACCCUCAAAGGGAGGAGAUUAUACAGGCUGCGAGCCUCAAGGGGCAGAGAUCUUAGGUCCAUCUUAGAAUUCUGCCCACCAUGGGCAUGUUGUGAGUGAGAAUGGAAGCUGUGUGGCAGGUGCUGCUGGUUGCCUGCCCAAUAUUAACCCCCUUUCUUCCUAAUCAAUAAAGCCUGAUUUUGUUGAGGAGGAGAAGUGCCGAUGGAAGAGGACUUGGCUCCCAGAAUCCCUUGAAACUACCAUUGGUGAUACGACCUCGUUCUAGCCAAUGACUUGUAAAUGGCAAUCUAAAGAAAAGUUAUCACUUUCUUGAGUAAAAAGGGACAGACCCAACUAGCAUGUGCUUUUUCUUCCUUGCUUUUUCCCCUUCUUCUUGCCUGGAACUUGGACACAAAGCCGAGAGGUAGGGCAGCCGUUUUGUGACCAUGAGGCUUCCUAUUUUCUGAGGAUGGCUGAGCAGGAAGCUAGAAGGAGCCUGGGUCUCCAAGGGCAUUUUGAGCUUCUCUGGACCACUCCUGGACUUCUUGUCAUGUCUCUGUUGACUAAUGCCCACCUGAUACGAAAUGACUGAAGCUUGGAAAUAAAAAUGAUUCCAGCAUUAUAAUCAGAAUUCUAAUGAGCUCCCACGGACGCGGAAUGCGAAAUGAGCUUGAGAUGGGGCCCCUCCUUUGGAUAUGACGGAACUGGUGAUUCAAGUUUUGUACGCAUUUGCUGUCGUGUGUUGUGUAUGACGCCGGCCUGGUGAGUGCUCUUUCUGUCGAGGGCCCGCCACGGGUCCUGCUGCGUCCAGGUCCCUCCUGCGUGAUGGCUGUCAUCGCCAUCUCCAUCCUCAUCAUCCUUAAGGUCGACUUGGAAGAUUUGGACUCAGUUGAGCAGAGACUAAAAACGUUAGAAGAUCAGCCAUCACCUGGCAGGUACCCGGUGAUGCCGAUGCUGCUGGCUCCUGGGUGCUACUUUGAGGAGCCAUCUUCGAAGACCGGUGGAAGUGCUUUGUACUGUUUGUACCUUUUGGAAAUGUUGUGUGAUCAUCAACAAGUCAACUCACCCGUCUUGGUCUCAGUUUCCCCAUCCGUCAAAUGGACAAGAUGUCACCAUCAUAGGAUGGGCGGAGAGGCCUAAGCAACACAAUGGAUGCAAAGUGCCUGGCCCAUCGUGUCAAGGAAUGACCUGAACAGCUGAGGAAGAUGCUCCAUGGAUGCCAACACUUGCUCGUCUCCCCUGCCUUGGACCCCAACUUUCCAAACCGCACUUCUCUUCCCUUUGCAUGUCUAGAAGAUGGCCUGGGCCAUAGUUAGGAGUUCAGCAUUGGGAGGUUAUAUUCUCUGAGCAGCAAGACCAACACCUGAGGCCCCUCUAGUCCUGAUUGUAUCCUGUGUUGUCAGGGAGAACAGUGUCUGGCGUCCUGUCGAUCUUUCUAGAAGGGAAGAGUAAAAGCAUUGAGAUGGCAAGCGUGUGGACCAGGCAGGCAGGAUGCUAGCCUCCCUCUGCGCCAGCCCGCUAGGCAGUGGCUACGUCUUCCCAGGGCUAAGGAGAUUCCCGCUUCCCAGAGUGCCACUGUGCCCUGCAGCAAGGCGAGACGGGGGGAGCUGUCCGGGGCCCGGCUUCCUCCCCCAGCACAGACGCCUCAGUGACCGCUCCGGGCUGGCCGCGAUGUGUGUACCUUUGCUGUCUGCACCCAGCCUCGGACUCGCCCCCAGGAACCCAGGCAGAGGAUAAACCUCACCCCUGCCUCUGGGAGCCCGGUCGGGGUGCAUUAGGCCAGUGCACAGAGCAGCUGGGGUGCGGAGAAAAGGAUAGUGGACUUGGAGACUGACUCCAAGUGCCUGAACACUCUCUGGCCUCAGCUUUCUCAUCCACAAAAUGGGACCAUAAACCUUGAUUCAGAGAGGCAGGGCAGUAGAGGGCAGCAGCCCAGCCUGUCUGGAUUUUGAUCUUGGCUCCCCCGCUUGUAAGCUGUGCUUUUCCCAGAAAAUUACUUUAUCUCUCUGAUCCUCAGGUUGCUUUACUGUAAAAAGGGUGGUAAUGAUGGUACCUGGACCUCAUAGAGUUAUUGUGGAGACGAAAACAAAAUAAAGUGAGUAAAGUGCUUAGCCUGUCCCGUGGCAAACUAUGAAUGCUUGGUCUUCUUAUUUCUGGAGUUGGUUGUUUGUUCCUUCUGGGGAGUUUGUUGGAGCUGCAGGUGCAAAAGCAAAAAGACCAGUGAGAAUUGAACAGACAUUUUGAGAGAUGUCGGGAGAAUUAGCUGAGGUGACGCAUGUGGAGGACCCAGCCCUGUGCUCGGGGAGCCGAUAGCGUCAGUCCUGCUCGCUAACCCCUCUCUCCUGCCGACAAACUAACAACCAUGAGAGUUAACCCUUACAUAGCGUGUACUAUGUGCCAGGCAUUGUUCUGAGCACUGUGUAAAUGUUGAUUCACUUAAUUUCAUGAUACAUGAAGUGUGUAUCAUUAUUAUCCUCAUUUUACAGAGGAGGAAACUGAGUCACAGGGAACUUACGUAACUUGCCAAGGGUACACAGAUGUUGAAUGGUGGAGCCAGGAUUAUGAACCUGGUAGUCUGCUCGUCAGGCGCUUGCUUUGAACUGCCCCACCAGACAGUUUCUCGGAUGGCAGGCUCUGACCUUGACUUUACCGUCUACCCUCCUGUCUACUGGCUACAAGCCCAUGCUGCCUACAAGAUUGCAACCCUAAGAGUCACCUGUCCAAGCUCAACUCACCUACCUGACUCAAUUCAACUCAACUCAGUUCAACUCAACUCAGCUCAGCUCAACUCAACUCAGUUCAACUCAACUCAACUCAGCUCAGCUCAGCUCAACUCAGUUCAACCCAACUCAACUCAACUCAGCUCAGCCCAACUCAACUCAACUCAACUCAGUUCAACUCAACUCAGCUCAACUCAGCUCAGCUCAACUCAGUUCAACUCAACUCAACUCAACUCAGCUCAGCCCAACUCAGCUCAACUCAACUCAGUUCAACUCAACUCGACUCAACUCAACUCAACUUAGCUCAGCUCAACUCAACUCAGUUCAACUCAACUCAACUCAGCUCAGCUCAGCUCAACUCAGUUCAACUCAACUCAACUCAACUCAGCUCAGCCCAACUCAGCUCAACUCAACUCAGUUCAACUCAACUCAGCUCAACUCAGCUCAACUCAAGCACAAUGUGUCCAGGAGAUCUUAGGCCAGUUGUGUGACUCCAAUGAAUGAUGCAAAAUUUGGGGGUUGUCUUUCAUGCUUGUUCCAUUCCUAUUGUUCUGAUGGGAAUCUUAUCUCCCCCAUUCACAUGGAAUAAUACCAAGACAUUACGUGCACAUAGCACUGUACAGUUUAGAAAUCCUUCUACACAUGUAGCUUAUUUAUAAUGUAUGUUUUCUAAGCCAAGUCUGCUUGGAAGUGAAGCAAAAGGGAGAUUAUACAGACAAUAAUUAUAAUAAUGUGUAUUAUUAAUUGGGCAGCCACUAUGUUCCAGGCUUGGUGCUAGAUGCUUAAUAAGCAGUAGCUCGUUUAACCUGGGAACUUGUGGAAGGAGAUUAUUCUGGGCAUUUUACUGAUGAGAUACCUGAGGUGUGACUAGGCUGAGGAGCUUUUCCAAGUCACAAAGCUGGUAGGAGGCAGAGGGGUCUCCUUCCGAAGGCUGUGUCUUUCCAGAGCUCCACCCUGCCUCCAUGGGUUGACCAACGUCUAGCAGAACCAGUCUCUAGGUUGCCUCAAGAAAUCGGGGCUCAGAGGGACCAGAGAUGACCAGUGGUAUGUCCUUCCAUUACCUGUGAGCCAGAAGCUACAGGAGUUGCAAUCUCUGUGCCAGCUGAAGGUGGGUUUCCUGCUCCCAGGGAAAAACAAGGUCUGUGGAGAGAAAGCUUCUGCUUCAUGGAUUGGUAUGAUAUCACUCCUUUCUCAAAUACAUGAUUCUCGCCGAGCUGAUAGAAUGCCUGCAACCCUCCAUUCUCGCUGUAGGAUGUCUCAGAGUUCGGGCUGGAAGGAGGCCCCGGACCAUCCCCCUCAAUCUUCUUGCCUUCAGAUCUGCGGACUCUGGCCACAAGAUGUAAAUUCUCAGAGCCAGGUAGACCUCCGAGGCCAGAGCUCAGAUCUCCGCACAGUGUUUGCU